UCAACUAUUUAGACGUCAUGUCAUAAAUUUUACAUGUUUUCUUACUUUUCAUGUUUCACUUAACUUUAAGUUUUACUAAUCUUCGAAGCUUGUAUCGUUCGAGGAAUCGAUUAAAUUGCGAAAUACGGAUAUUUCUUGAAAACCUAAAACUUUGUAAUUCAAAUUUACGUAAGUAAACGGUGCUGACAAAGUAAGAAAAAAAGAUUUACAAGUCUAGUGCAAACAGCAAAUUCAACUUAAAUAAACAUAGGUGUUAAAUUGUUUCUUAGCAUGGCUGCAAUAAAUUUUAAAACACUAAAUAAUGAUGAAGUUACUGAAUUUUUUAACUCUUUUGAUACUGUGCUUACUGACUGUGAUGGUGUACUUUGGAUGUAUAUGACCCCUUUACCACGUGCUGCAGAAGUAAUUAGUUCUUUUAUGUCUGCUGGAAAAAGAGUUUUUUAUGUUACUAAUAAUAGUACAAAGACUAGGGAAGAAUUUGUUGAGAAAUGUAAAAUACUAAAUUUUAAAGCAUCAAAAGAAGAUAUUUUAUGUACUGCAAAUUUAUCUGCUUGUUAUUUACAAGAUCUGGGUUUUAAUAGAAAAACUUAUAUUAUAGGUUCAGAAGCUAUUGCAAAGGAAUUGCAUGAAGUUGGAAUUUCAAGUACUGGUGUAGGACCAGAUCCUGUUAAUAAAAAUGUACCUUAUAAUACUUUUGUAAAGGAUCCUGAAGUGGGUGCAGUUAUAGUUGGUUUCGAUGAACACUUUAGUUAUCCCAAAAUGGUAAAAGCAGCUUCAUAUUUAAGUGAUCCCAAUGUAUAUUUUAUUGGCACAAAUACAGAUGAAAGGUUUCCUGUUGCUAACAAUGUUGUCAUACCUGGUACUGGAAGUUUGGUACGGUGCAUAGAAAGUUGUUCAGAAAGGAAAGCUACUGUAAUGGGUAAACCAGAGCCUUAUAUAGCAGAUAUAUUAAUAAAAAGAUUUAAAGUUAAUCCUAAACGUACCUUAAUGAUUGGUGAUCGGCAUAACACAGAUAUACUACUAGGAACUAGAUGUGGAUUUAAAACAUUGCUAGUCUUAACAGGAAUUACCACUUCUGAGGAUGUAAAUAGGUGGAAACAAUCGGAGUGUGUAGAAGAGAAAGACUUUAUUCCUGAUUAUUAUAUUAAUGAAAUUGGAGAUCUUUUACCUUACUUACAAAAAUUUAAGAAUAAAUGUGCAAUGUAGUAUACAUAAAAUACAAUAUUAUUUUCUAUGAAAAUAUUUUGCAACUGUAUAAUCUAAUUGAAACAAAAUGUCUUUAGAUAGUAAAUAUAUUCAUUGAAUGUAAUAUAUAUAUAAUAGUUACAGGUAUAUUGAAAUGUAUAUUACAAUUAUAGUUAUUUAUGUACCAUUGAUUUCAAUUGUGAUUAUAUAGAAUCUAAAGUUUUAUCUAACCUUAUUUUGUUUCUUUAAAAGUUAUGAUUUCAUGAAGUUUCAUACAUUUCAUAACAUAAAUUUGCAUUCCUAAAUAUUUUAUUUAACUAUGUGUUUCAUAGGUUAUUUUGUUGUAAAUAUGUAUUAAAAGUAUAUAAUAAAUAGUUACAAUCGGAAAUAUAGAUAUCGAAAAGAAUAAAAAAUAUUGUUGUUCUUGCUAUCAUAUUAAGUAACACAUUACGUUGUCAUCAAUUGUACCUAUUGGUAGUUGUGAAUGAAGUAAGUGUACAAUUUAUACCCCCGUAUUAUGUAAUAGACGAGCAAGGUCACGUUGCAAAUGCGUGGCUAUCAGCCAGGAACACACUCUGUCGAAGAUCAUCUUUCGAGUUGUAUCAGUGGAUUACUGAUAAAGAAGAUAUCGUGCCUGGAUAGCAGACUUCGUUUUAAGAAGACUAAUUCACAGACAAUUACAAAAUGACAACGAAAAAGAUAACAUCAUUAUCGAAAGACGAAUUUAAACAAUUCCUUGAAUCUUUUGACGUAGUUUUAUCAGACUGUGAUGUAAACCUUAGGCGUACUAUGGAAAGAAACCGAAGUGAUAGAAGGGUCACCUGAAACUGUAAACAAAUUUAAACAGUUAGGUAAGAAGUUCUUCUACAUAACAAACAACAACACCAAAACUAGACCCGAGUUUGUAGAGAAAUGUAAAGAGCU